rnacentral:misc_RNA from 1 species
GCUGACAUGAGCAGCCCCUUGUA